rnacentral:rRNA from 1 species
UGGCUCAGGAUGAACGCUGGCGGCGUGCUUAACACAUGCAAGUCGAACGGUGAACACGGAGCUUGCUCUGUGGGAUCAGUGGCGAACGGGUGAGUAACACGUGAGCAACCUGCCCCUGACUCUGGGAUAAGCGCUGGAAACGGCGUCUAAUACUGGAUACGAGUAGCGACCGCAUGGUCAGUUACUGGAAAGAUUUAUUGGUUGGGGAUGGGCUCGCGGCCUAUCAGCUUGUUGGUGAGGUAAUGGCUCACCAAGGCGUCGACGGGUAGCCGGCCUGAGAGGGUGACCGGCCACACUGGGACUGAGACACGGCCCAGACUCCUACGGGAGGCAGCAGUGGGGAAUAUUGCACAAUGGGCGCAAGCCUGAUGCAGCAACGCCGCGUGAGGGAUGACGGCCUUCGGGUUGUAAACCUCUUUUAGCAGGGAAGAAGCGAAAGUGACGGUACCUGCAGAAAAAGCGCCGGCUAACUACGUGCCAGCAGCCGCGGUAAUACGUAGGGCGCAAGCGUUAUCCGGAAUUAUUGGGCGUAAAGAGCUCGUAGGCGGUUUGUCGCGUCUGCUGUGAAAUCCGGAGGCUCAACCUCCGGCCUGCAGUGGGUACGGGCAGACUAGAGUGCGGUAGGGGAGAUUGGAAUUCCUGGUGUAGCGGUGGAAUGCGCAGAUAUCAGGAGGAACACCGAUGGCGAAGGCAGAUCUCUGGGCCGUAACUGACGCUGAGGAGCGAAAGGGUGGGGAGCAAACAGGCUUAGAUACCCUGGUAGUCCACCCCGUAAACGUUGGGAACUAGUUGUGGGGUCCAUUCCACGGAUUCCGUGACGCAGCUAACG